rnacentral:rRNA from 1 species
ACACGUAGGGGGCGAGCGUUGUCCGGAAUUACUGGGUGUAAAGGGUGCGUAGGCGGCCUUGCAAGUCAGAUGUGAAAGAUCACGGCUUAACUGUGGUAAGCAUUUGAAACUGUAAGGCUUGAGUGCAGGAGAGGAGAGUGGAAUUCCUAGUGUAGCGGUGAAAUGCGUAGAUAUUAGGAAGAAUAUCAGUGGCGAAGGCGGCUCUCUGGACUGCAACUGACGCUGAGGCACGAAAGCGUGGGGAGCAAACAGGAUUAGAUACCCUGGUAGUCCACGCUGUAAACGAUGAGUGCUAGGUGUCGGGGGUCAUACCUCGGUGCCGCAGUUAACGCAUUAAGUAUUCCGCCUGGGGAGUACGGUCGCAAGACUAAA